GUUUAUAGCCAUACCACCCUGAAUGCACCCAAAGGCAUCUGAUCUCAGAAGCUAAGCAGGGCUGGGGCUGGUUAGUACUUGGAUGGCGGGAGAAGAGGGGUUCUUUCAGCU
rnacentral:rRNA from 1 species